CUAACUGUGAUGGGGUUACUGCACUUAAGGCAUCAAGUAGAGGGGAACUGGAAUAACAGUGUAUCUGAUAGGAGGGGGCAGUGUGGAAGGCUUGGACUUUGGACAAAGAGCUGAUGAUUGAAAUCUUCCUAUAUUUGACUUCCUCUGCAAUUAAUGCACAAUUUGAAUUGUUAAGUACCCACAAGUAGCAUUUACUAUUUGAAAAAAUAGCGGUAUAACUACAGGGUACUGGAGUUUGAUUCUCUUCUCCCACAGGAUCUCAGGGACCUUUGGGACCUCCUGAUGUCCUUCCAGCCCUAUUCAGCUGCCCACAUCGUACAUAGCCUCGCAGGUCCAAACCUGGUCCAGGACCAAUCCUGUAUCUUCACAGGAAGCCUUUUCUUACCCAUCCUUAUCUGUACAGAACUAGUCUUGCCUUUGUGCCUGGUAGACAUGGGCAUUGGAGAAUUAGAUGGGUAGGGUUUGAAGCCUAACUAGCUGCUGUACUGGCUGAAUGACUUUGAACAAAGGGCUUAGCUCUUCAUCUGAGGAUACGCAUCUUUACCUAUAAAAUGCAGGUGACCUGUAUCUACUUUUCAAUGUCGUUAUAAUUGGAGAGACAAAAGGCUUAGCACAGCCUUAACCUCAGCACAUAGCUUAUGUUCAUGUUUAAUAUUUAUGAUGAUAAUUGACAGGCAUCAGGUUUAACAGCUGUACUCAACCUACACCAAGGAUGGUUACCUGCUGUGAAGAAUUCCCUGGCCAGAAACUGUUGGAAGUGAGAUGAGGUUUGCCAACAUCACUUUCUCCAGUCUCUCUCUCAUUAUCCAUUGCAGUCCUUUCCACAGCCUGGUCUUUUCUGAUGUUCUCUAAAAUUUUUCAGUAAAUAAUAUAAACCCGAUCCUGGCUUUAUCUCAGAUCUAGCUAACUCAGAUACGAGUUCCAGUGAGUUCUCCAUCAUUGACUGUCACAGUUGCCUGUCUCCCACCUCCUCCACUUCUACUUCCAGGUCACCUGCAAAUAGGUGGGCAGGGUUUCCAGUAAUGGCAUCAGCUUGCCAGGUUCUUACUCUGGGUGCCUGGUAGUAACUAAUUCUUUUUUUUUCUUUUGUGUGAAAUAGUGUUCCAUUGAAGCUAUUCAUUUAUAAUACAGGAGAGGCAAGUAUGAGGAGCCAGUUCCUUUCUCUGGGACUUUCUCGGACUCAGCUUUCCAGCCAUGCCAGGCAUUUUUUUUUCUCUGAAGUGGAGUGUGAUUCUCGUGCUGGCACCUCAUUCAUGAGUCAUUGGUUCAGGGCAUGUAAAAGCCCUUGCUGGGGAUCCAGUCUAGACCUUUUGGUGUGGUAGGUGCCCAGGCUUCAGACAGGAUUAGAAUGCUUCAUGCACUCCUGGAGGUCACACCCUUGUAGAGACAGACCUAGAAACAGUGAGAGGGGUUCUGGGAUGGGGUCUGCAUGGGUGCUAUGAGAGGAGUUCCCAUUGUGGCUCAGUGGAAGUGAAUCUGACUAAUAUUCAUGAGGAUGCAGGUUCAAUCCCUGGCCUCUCUCAGUGGGUUAAGGGAUCUGGCAUUGUCAUGAGCCAUGAUGUAGGUUGCAUAUGUGGGUCAGAUCUAGUGUUGCUGUGAUUGUGGCGUAGGCCAGCGGCUACAACUCUGAUUCGACCCCUAGUCUGGAAAACUCCAUAUGCU
rnacentral:lncRNA from 1 species